UUUAUGAAAGACGAACAACUGCGAAAGCAUUUGCCAAGGAUGUUUUCAUUAAUCAAGAACGAAAGUUGGGGGCUCGAAGACGAUCAGAUACCGUCCUAGUCUCAACCAUAAACGAUGCCGACCAGGGAUCAGCGGAUGUUGCUUUUAGGACUCCGCUGGCACCUUAUGAGAAAUCAAAGUUUUUGGGUUCCGGGGGGAGUAUGGUCGCAAGGCUGAAACUUAAAGGAAUUGACGGAAGGGCACCACCAGGAGUGGAGCCUGCGGCUUAAUUUGACAACACGGGGAAACUUACCAGGUCCAGACAUAGUAAGGAUUGACAGACUGAGAGCUCUUUCUUGAUUCUAUGGGUGGUGGUGCAUGGCCGUUCUUAGUUGGUGGAGCGAUUUGUCUGGUUAAUUCCGUUAACGAACGAGACCUCAGCCUGCUAACUAGCUACGUGGAGGCAUCCCUUCACGGCCGGCUUCUUAGAGGGACUAUGUCACACCCGCAUCGAAAUAACAAAAUAAUACUGAAAGUCUGAAAUAGGAAAUAACACAAACGAUAAAGUCCAAAGGCCUAAAGGCCCGAUAAAGAUAAAAAGCGAUAAAAGCGAUAGAAGCCCAAAAGCCCAAUAGCACCGGUCCGAUAAUCACUCCUGCUCGUCGGUCUCACCUGGAAAGGAGAAAAGUGAGGGGUGAGCGACAGGUGAGUCGCCCAAUGAGGUAUGGGGGAUGCUACCCCGAAGUCCAUGGACUCGGACAUAACACUCCGAAUAAAUAUAAUUUAAUUCUAAUACAUGUCAAACACGGCACCUAAAGUACCCAAGCAACAAGCAAUGAUCCUAGCGAGGCGCGCACUCGCCGCCCACUAACAGGCCAAAAACAUAACACAACUCGAGAUAGUGCUCGGACACCGCCCGUGGACGAUUUAUCGACACUUCCAGGCUACAGCUCAACCGGUCGACUAUAGUUGGCCAUAACCUCAUACAAUCCGGCAUACAGAAGUCCGUCUCUGUAUCCGUCUCCACUCAAAAACAAUCCUAGCUAAGCAUUUACAUUAAGUGAAGCAAUCAAUGUUGAAUCCUCUAACAACCUAGUUCCGGUUUAAGCAAAGAGCCUAAUAACUAAACAAGCAAUGACAGACUCGAUUUCAAGCAGACGGAACAUAUUAGAAAUAAGUUAUACUUAUUCGAAGUCCUAAACCGUGUAAGAGGAGUUCGGGAAUAGCCCCUCACCUUAGCAAUAGGGAAAUGUGGUAUCUAUGAACUCCAGCUGCUCAAAUAGACUCUAAAUCUGAAAUCAGGGCGAAAUUCUAAGUCAGAACGGCUUUCGAAUGGUUUAAAACGGGUUUAGUCAAGAUUUACGGAAAAGUCAACACGCUGGUCAAAGGUCAACCCGGUCAACUUUGACCCAAGCCGGUUAACCCUUGACCAGAUUGGAAUUGAUUUAAACCAACCGGUUGAACUCAACCGAAAUCGAUUCCAAUUGGACCAUCCGGUUUACCUUAACCAACAAUUGAUUAAUUAAUUAAUUAAUCCAUCUAACCGGUUUAUCCUAACCGAAAUCCAAUUGAUUUUAACCGGCGGUUUAACCUAACCAACCCUAAAUCAAUUUAAACCAAUCAAACCACCGGUUGACCGAGUGACCGAGUUGACUCACCGGGUCGACUCGGCCGAGUUGGCGAGUCGCCGGCGAAUCACCGGCACUAGUCCCGGCGGCAACGGCGAAGGGUGGCGGCGGCUUACCGGAAAAUCAGCGGCGGCGACGGCGGCGAGGCGGCGACGCGGCGGCAGCUUCACGGCGGCGGACGGACGGCGGUCGAUCACGGCGGCUCCGGCGAACGGCGGUCGGAGACGGCGGCGAGUGGCCGGAAUGCGCGGUGGCUCCGGCGGACGGCGACGGCGCGUGCGUUUCACGCCUGCGCAGAGGCGAAACUUCGGGAGGCUCUAGCGGCUUCGUCCGGGAUCCGAUUGCGGUGUGGUUGGUGUCUACGGCUUCGUCUCGACGAGAGGAACACGAUGGUGGUCUUGCAUGCACGAGAUGAUCAAUGGUUAGGAAGUUAUGGGCGAUUUACUAAACGGAAACGAAACUGAAACUUAAGGCAUGCGGUUUCCGGCAGUUACCUAGGGUGUUGAUCGGGGGUGACGAGCUGAACGUGAUCACGGCACACGGUUGCUCCGGCGACGAGCUCCGGCGACCCACUCACUGCAAAAUGAUCACACUUCUUCUUCUUAGUUCACUCUCUCUCUAACUCUUCUUUAUUUUCUGAAGUUUCUGAGAAAACAAGGUGGAGGUGAUGGUUAUUUAAGGCAAAAUACCUUGGGCUUUUUGGAGUGAAUUUGGGCCUCGCUGAAUGUCAGAUGGGCCUGGGUUUGGGUCAUGACAACUCUCCCCCACUAAUAAAGAAUUCGACCCCGAAUUCGAGUCACCAAACUCUCCAAUGACACCCCGAAACAGCUCUGGAUAAUCAAUCCUCAUUUGGAGCUCGGACUCCCAGGUCUCCUCCUGAAUCCCGUCGCUCUCCCAACGGACCUUGACCAACAUGGUCAUCAUACCAUGAUCUGCUUUCACUUGGCGAUCCAAUAUCUCUACUGGCUGGCACAACCCACGUAAACCUUUGCCAAGGUCUCUAGGUGGCUGCUGCAAAAUGAGCUCUGGCUCUCUCACGACUUUCCUCAAAACCGACACAUGAAACACAUCAUGGAAGUCUGAUAGCUCUCCUGAUAAAUCCAAUCGGUAAGCAACUGCUCCAAUCCGCUCCAAUAUAGGAUAUGGUCCCAUAUAUCUCGGUUUAAGCUUCUUUAGCUUCCGAGUCUUAGAUCCUCCCUGAAAUGUUCUCAUUUUCAGGUAUACCAGGUCGCCAACCUGAAACUCCAAGUCUUUUCGCCGCUUAUCUGCAUAACUCUUUUGACGGUCAUGGGCUUCCUUAAGCCGCAUCUUGAGCAUCUCAACCUGCUCGACUGUCUCUUGAACCAUGGCUGGUUCUAUCUCACGUCGCUCUCCCACUUCCGUCCAACAAAGUGGUGUGCGACAAGGUCUACCAUAUAGAGCCUCAUAUGGUGCCAUCCCAAUACUCGAAUGAUAGCUGUUGUUGUAGGCAAACUCGGCUAGAGGUAGAUACUUCACCCAACUACCUUCCCAAUCUAAAACACAAGCUCUGAGCAUAUCCUCCAAAGUCUGAAUAGUCCUCUCUGACUGACCAUCUGUCUGCGGGUGAUAAGCCGUACUCAUAUGAACCUUUGUCCCAAGCGCCUUCUGGAAGGCUCUCCAAAACUCAGACGUGAACUUUGUAUCCCGAUCCGAUACAAUGCUGACCGGAACUCCAUGCAAUCUCACAAUCUCGCUGAUGUAAGUCUGUGCUAGCUGAUCAGCUCUGUCUGUCUUCUUAACCGCUAGAAAAUGGGCUGACUUCGUAAGUCUAUCCACGACUACCCAUAUGGCAUUCUUCCCUCCUGACGUAGUCGGCAAACCCGUCACAAAAUCCAUAGUUACCAUGUCCCAUUUCCACUCCGGUAAUGGUAGGUUUUGCAAUAACCCGCUAGGAACCUGAUGCUCGGCCUUAACCAUCUGACACGUCUGACAUUGCGAUACUAAUGAAGCAACAUCUCUCUUCAUACCAGGCCAAUGGUAAUAUCGCUUCAGAUCCCUGUACAUCUUGGUAUUUCCUGGAUGAAUGGAGAAACUCGAGUGGUGUGCUUGCCGUAAGAUCUCCUUUCUUAACAGCUCAUCAUUGGGCACACAAACCCGGUUUCGGUACAUGAACAUCCCGCUGGAGGCUGUAUGAUAACCAAUACUCUCCAUCUCGAUCUGCUUACGCAAAGCCUUAUCACCAUCCUGAGAUUUGCGUAUCCUCCAUAGUAAGUCUGCCCGCUCUACAGCCUCAGCGCCAACUGACUCUCCUUCUACAGUAAUUGCACAUAAUCUGAGACUAGCAAGUGUCCCAGUAAGCUCAUGGACCUCUUUGGUUCCCGAUACAUCGCUUCUACGCCUACUCAAGGCAUCCGCCACAUGAUUGGCUUUUCCCGGAUGAUAUGCGAUCUCCAAGUUGUAGUCUGCUAACAACUCCAUCCAUCUACGCUGCCUCAAAUUCAAGUCCGCCUGCGUAAAUACGUACUUCAGACUCUGGUGGUCCGUGAAAAUCUUCACCUUCUCUCCAUACAAGUAUGACCUCCAGAUCUUUAAUGCGAAUACAACUGCUGCCAACUCCAAAUCAUGCGUAGGAUAAUUGGCCUCGUGAGGCCUCAAUUGUCGUGAUGCAUAGGCAAUGACCUGACCCUCCUGCAUCAGUACACAUCCCAAUCCGGUGCCUGACGCAUCAGUGUAAACAUCAUAUGGUAUUCCUGGUCUCGGGAGUACCAAAACUGGCGCAUGGGUCAGCUGUCGCUUCAACUCAGUGAAACUUCCCGAACAUUCCUCUGUCCAAUCAAACUUGGCGUCUUUUCCUGUUAGCCGUGUCAUUGGCUUUGCAAUGCUAGCAAAACUGUUGACAUACUUUCUGUAGUAUCCUGCCAAACCGAGAAAACUUCGGAUCUCCGUCGCACUCUUAGGUGUCGGCCACUCUGAAAUGGCGGUAAUCUUCUCCUGAUCUACGGCAACUCCUGCUUCUGAAACCACGUGACCCAAAAAUCCAAUCUUCCUCUGCCAAAAGUUACACUUACUUAGCUUGGCAAACAACUGAUGUUCCCGAAGCUUACCCAACACAAUCCGCAAAUGCUCAGCAUGCUCUUCUCUACUCCGAGAAUAAACCAAGAUAUCAUCGAUGAAAACUAUCACAAACUUAUCCAGCUGCUCUCGAAACACAUCAUUCAUGAGCUUCAUGAACGCGGCUGGUGCGUUCGUCAACCCAAAUGGCAUCACCACAAACUCGUAAUGUCCAUAACGGGUACGGAAUGCCGUCUUCCGCACAUCUCCCUCAGCUAUCGCAAUCUGGUGGUAUCCCGAUGCCAAGUCAAUCUUAGAGAACCAUGAAGCUCCCUGCAACUGGUCCAACAACUCGUCGAUACGCGGGAGCGGGUACUUAUUCUUGAUGGUCACUUUGUUCAAACCUCUGUAAUCGAUACAAAGUCUGAAACUCCCAUCUUUCUUCUUCACAAACAACACUGGUGCUCCCCACGGUGACGUACUCGGCCUGAUAAACCCCUUAUCAGAUAAAUCCUCCAACUGCUUCUUUAACUCUGCCAUCUCAGUUGGUGCGAGACGGUAUGGAGCUCGUGAAACUGGUGCUGCUCCUGGCUCUACUUCUAUCGUAAGUACGUCCGCUCUAGCCGGUGGUGGCCUUUUUAACGCCUCAAAGACAUCUUCGUACUCGGCGACCACUGGUAUAUCAUGCAGCUCCUGCUGACCGUCCUCCUUAACCAUCGAAAUGGUUGCCAAAAAUCCCUCUGCUCCACUCUCCAAUAAUUCUUCGGCACGCAACAUGGAGACGAUAGGAAUUUCCCGGUGUGUCUGAAUGCCCUCGCAAAUGAUCUUUCCUUUUUCUCUAGGGAUGUUAACUCUUGCCUUCGGACAAUCCAAGACUGCUCGAUGUCGCGACAACCAAUCCAUCCCAAGUAUAACAUCGUAGGAGCUCAUCUCCAUCUCCGUCAAAUCUCCGAGCAACUCGACUCCUCCAAGUAUAACUGGUACAUCGUAAUGAAUGCCAACUGCUCCCAACUUCUCCGUACCGGCAGUCUGAAUCUGCUUAGCCUUCGGUUCGAAGACACCCCGAAAAGACCAAGACUGGACUAAGCGCGGACUCACAAAACUAUGAGAAGCUCCCGUAUCGAAUAAGGUGUAAGCUGACUCUCCUCCAACCGAAACCGAUCCUACACGAGAUUUUUACUAACUACACAUGACAACCACGAACCAAAAUACUCAAACACAAACAAGUAUGGAAAAGUCUCAUACCUGCUAUCGGCUCAGCUCCUUGAGGAUCUCCAACCGCAAACACUCGUGGAGCGAUGGCUAGACGCUUCGGUGGUGGUGGGAGUGCCGCAUUGCCCCUCCUCGGGCAAUCUCUGAUGAAGUGACCUGGCUGACCACAGCCAAAACAGACCUGUGCCGCUGCUGGUGCUGCUGGUGCUGCAAUCUGUCUGACUGGUGGUGUAUCCAAUGGCUUAACCCGACAAAACUUCGCAAUGUGUCCAAUCUUACCGCAAAUAAGACACCUCAUACACUGCCCACUGUGACUGCGAUGGCAACGAGGACAUAUCGGUAAUCCUGACGGGUCCCCUGCUCUCCUCUGAGACUCUGGAGCUUUUCCAGACUUAACAUGAAUUGCUUUGGCGAGUUUCUGCUCCUCCACCAAGCCUGCCUCCUGCUCGGCAGCUUUCUCCACCAAAUCUCCCAAUCGGUGGUAAGUGACUACGCGACACCUGUUACGAAUCUCCACUCGCAUCCCACUCAAAAACUUCCUGAUCAAGUCUUCCUCUGAAAUGCCCACUCCAGCAAAUCUGCGAAGUUGGUUGAACACAACCUCAUACUCCCUGAUAGACAUCUCUCCCUGGCUUACAUGCUCGAACUCGCAUUUCUUCCUAUCCAUAGCUUCCUUCGGAAAGUAUUUCCUAUCGAACUCUCGAAUGAAGUCAGCGAAGGUAAGCCUCUCUGGCCCAAAAUGACUCAAUCGUAUUCCCUCCCACCAUAUAAGAGCAUCUCCACGAAGGUACUGCAUAGUCAAUCUAAGCGACAACUCUGGUGGACACUCGAUAAUCUCCAGCUUCCGCUGCAAGGCUAACUUCCAAUCAUGUGCAGCUACAGCAUCCACUGUCCCGCUAAAGUGCUCCAUAUCCAUGUUCCUCAUCUGACAUGUCAGCCUGUAGAACCUCUCAUCAUAAACAGGGUAAACAUAAGGUCGUGGUGGUGGUGGCGGUAGAUCCUGAACACCAUGAGCAAACUGCGGAGCUGGACCCUGCUGCAGUGGAACCUGAGGAAGGGGAACCUGCUGAACGGGAUCCUGAUAAUCAUGCUGAGCGGGAAUCUGCUGAUCCUGCUGAACCUGAACCGGUGGAACUUGCUGAACCCGAAUCUGCGGACCCUGCUGCACCUGAACCUGAGGACCCUGCUGAACGGCAGCCAUCUGACGAGCAACCUCUUGAGCAGCUACUCGGGCAGCCUCUUGAGCGGCCUGCCUGGCUGUCUCCUGGGCAAUCUGCUGAAGUGCCUCCUGAGCGGCCUGCCUAGCGGCAUCCUGAACCAUCUGUCUCAAUGCAUCCUGAUCAACUGGUGGAGCCGCGGGUGGCGGAACUGCGGGCUGCUCAUGCUCAUCUACAACGUCUCUAACAGCUCUGGCGGUCUGGGCACGGGUGGUUCUUCUCCUGGGCGGCAUCUGAAAGGAAAGCGAAAUGUUAACUUAUGCUGAACUUUUGAUACCAACAUUUAAGGAGAAGUGAUAUCGAACGGAAAGGUGCUAUUUAUUUUCGUUUACAAAAUUCCCAAAUCCCCGAAAAUAUUUCGAAAUCGUCUAAAACCGUCAAAACCGAUUAAAACCGAAUAAAACCAGGUCUCCAAAAAUCGCCAUCCCGGGUCGGAGCCGGGACGGAACCCC
rnacentral:lncRNA from 1 species